CUCUGUGAGGACAGCCAAGGGCUCGCAGCCUGGGGGUGCCGGAGUUGGGGGGAAACUCCCAUCCACCCACCCCUGAGAAUGGAGGACAGGAGGACCAAAUGCCCCCUUUGACUCACCCAGGAGGAAGCCCUAGGGGUACUACGCUUGUUAAUUCAGUUGGUGAAACGGACAAAGAAGGGAGUGUCCGCUGCCUGCCAUCUGUGCAUUGGGUCCUUACAAUGGCCUCUGAGCUUGCCGAGCUCUUGGAGGGAACACUGACUGAGCCCUUACUAGGUGCCAGGACUGGGGAAAUGGUGACAAAGAGACAGACGUCAUUCUUGCUCUUAUGGGAUCUGUGGUCAUUCUAUGGACAAGAAAACUGAAACUGAAGAGAGUUGUGUCACAAUCAGGAGACUGAGCCCUGGGCAAGAAAGUGACAGGAUGUCAGAGUUGGCCAGGUCAUUGAGUCCAACCUCAUUUUACAGGUGAGGGAACUAAGGCCCAGAGAGGCAAAGUAACUUGCCAAGGGUCACCCAGCAGGUAAACAACCAAGCCAGGACUCGGGUUCAGGGACAGUACUGAUAACUGGUAGUGGUGGCAGAGGGGUCAGUACUUGUCCCAUCAGUCCACACUUAGGGCUGUCAUGUGUGCUUGUGCAACGUGUACACAGUGCAAAGGCAUGCGACUGGGUGUGACUGCACAGUUGUGUGGCCUAGAGUGUCCUUCACCCACGGCUCCUGCCCUCUUCCACCACUGCCACUGCAUGACCAGCCUGGCAUUCCGCAGCUCCCAGGCCACACGGUUUCCAGGGGGUCCCCCGCAACCCUUCUCCUGACCACUCCUAGGGGUCUAAGCAGCAAAAGGCUGUCCUCUGUUGGGAGGCAAGUCCCUGACUCCCCUUUCCCCCCUCUGCCAUCUCCUCCUGCUUCCCUAGUGUCCACCAAAGGAGACAGGGCUGAGAGGACUGCCCGGGGCCCAGGUCUUCCCCCGACUGACUACAUGCAUGAAAGCCCAGCUUCUCACAUGAAAGUCCAGGACAAAUGGUGACGACUCCAGCAAGAUGAGUUUAUCUACCAUCUCCGGAAAGUUCUCAGUUCAGGGGAAAGGGGUGAGGCAGCAGCUCCCAUCCUUCCUUCCCAGCCCCACCUCAGGCCCAGUCAGCUCCUGGCCAGUGCACUUACCGAAGCUGUGACCCAUGAUGGAGAACCGAUUCCAUUUCAAGGCUGGAAAUGCAAGGAGCCAGAAGGUCUGACCGGGUACAGGCUCAGCCCGCCCACUCGCUGCCAGUCCCUGGGCUCAAGAAAUCGCUUCCCAGCCUCUGGGGUGUCCACCCAGGAGACUAGCUUGGGGGACCCACUGGAGGAAGCAAGCUCUUCUCCAACUUGCCCAAGGAGUCCCAUGAAUUGCUGGCAGAUCUAAGGCCAGAGCCCAGGCACCCACUCCCAGGCUGCUUCCUACCCCCACACCAAUGAUAAGAGGGCGUAUCCCAGAGCAACCCCUGCAAAAGACACUCUGUUUCUUACCUGCCGAAACCCUUCGGAUCUCAUUCACAAAGUUCUGGUGGUAAUAUGGGACACCUGGGCUGUAAUGGGAUGAGAGCCCAUGACCCCCGAAAUCCAGGGCAACGUAAUACAAGUCUGAAACAGAGAGAA